rnacentral:rRNA from 1 species
UAAGGAAUAUUGGUCAAUGGAGGCAACUCUGAACCAGCCAUGCCGCGUGCAGGAAGACGGCCCUCUGUGUUGUAAACUGCUUUUAUUCGGGAAUAAACCUAUCUACGUGUAGAUAGCUGAAUGUACCGAAGGAAUAAGGAUCGGCUAACUCCGUGCCAGCAGCCGCGGUAAUACGGAGGAUCCAAGCGUUAUCCGGAUUUAUUGGGUUUAAAGGGUGCGUAGGCGGCCUAUUAAGUCAGGGGUGAAAGACGGUAGCUCAACUAUCGCAGUGCCCUUGAUACUGAUGAGCUUGAGUGAACUAGAGGUAGGCGGAAUGUGACAAGUAGCGGUGAAAUGCAUAGAUAUGUCACAGAACACCGAUUGCGAAGGCAGCUUACUAUGGUUUUAUUGACGCUGAGGCACGAAAGCGUGGGGAUCAAACA